AAAAAAAGUAACGUGUAUAUGACACAACCUCAGUCUAGGAUACAAAGGAAAAACACACAGCAGGGAACAGACAGCGGAGGAACAUUUAAAAAAUGUUCCAGGUAUUCCGCUGUGGGUUCUGGCACUUCAGCUGUUUUUUUCCUCUUGGUGUUUUCUUCGAGAAUAUAUGAAUUUAAUAAUAAUAAAAAAUAAGAUUAAAAAAAUCAGUAGGAGGCCCGGUGUGGUGGCUCACGCCUGUAAUCCCAGCACUUUGGGAGGCUGAGGUGGGAGGAUCACUUAAGCCCAGGAGUUUGAGACCAGCCUCGGCAACAGAGUGAGACCUUGUCUCUAAAGAAAUAAAAAUAAAAAUAAAUAAAAAUUAGCUGGGCCUGGUGGUGUGUGCCUGUAGUCCCAGCUACUCAGGAGGCUGAGGUGGGA
rnacentral:lncRNA from 10 species